GUAGCCCUAUGACACUUCUGGUAGUUUGACCCUUCUUCUGUACCAUGAGCCUAAAAAAACACUCAUUAUAACCCGACUGAUCUCCUUUUCAACCAUUGGAAAUAGGUAUGUGAGGAGCGGAAGCUUCUGAGAAUACCAUCCCAGUAGAGCCUCGUGACCCUUGGUGGAGAGAUGUUGACCCGCAGGUGUGGACGCCCCGGCCCUGACGUGACUACCAAAAAGGGCUAACAGGAACGCCCAACCUCGUCAGCUUUUUAUCACACAUUGAGCCUAAGCGGACGGAUGAGGGUAAGGCUGAAGACACUCACGAGGACGAGGAGCACAGUACUGGCAAUGAACAAGGGGUGUGAACCGUUGCCGCGGUGCGGUGCCGCGACGGACGCGCUUGGCACGGUCGGCGGCGAUCAGCGGCAGCGACCCCCGGCGGCAACAGCCUUGGCGGCGCGAGCAAAUCUAGCUCAAGUCCCCAUCUACCUAACUUCCUGUAGACAAAAAGAUGGGGCUGAAGAGAAGCUUGACAACCUCAUGGGACUCAAGAAGCACAGUUACACCACCAAUGAUUGUGUCUGUGUGCCAUGAAGCUUCUGACCCUAUGCAAGAUUGCAGCAAAGUGAUCAUUUAGCUUUAAGGUCACUGAUGAGGGAAUGCAUCUGGCUCAUUACAAUGCUUUGUGCAAUACCAAGCUCAGCUGCAACGGUUUUUGGUGUCUUGCGCUGAAUUCCAACUCCACAAAGAAUGGCCUGCAAUAGAGGAGAGGUACGUGUCUUCAGUGGCACCAACCUGAGGGUCUUGCACCACGUGGGCCAGCUGCUGCUCAGCGGGGGCAGAGUCCACAUAGUCAGCAUGGACGGAUGCUUCACUGUAGUACUCAGUCAGCAGUGUCAUAGCAUGG